UAAUUGUGAGAUUUAGGGUUAUCGUGAGAUUUAGCAAAAAAAGUGUGACGGAUUGGAUCUGGCGCUUUUGGGCGAGCGGGAUUUCUAGGGCAUUGCGAGGUGUCGAGGUUUGUCACCGCCCUAGCUACAGCGGUGUCAGGCUUGUCGCCAUAGCUCAAGAAUCUGGAGUUUGAGGCCGCGGCUCGAAUCGCUGUGCACAU
rnacentral:lncRNA from 1 species